rnacentral:rRNA from 1 species
GGAGGAAAAGAAACCAACUGGGAUUCCCUUAGUAGCGGCGAGCGAAACGGGAAGAGUCCAGCGCCGAAUCCCGCAUUGCAAAGUGCUGGGAAAUGUGGCGUUUAGGAGUGAGCGCGCCGUUUUUGGCUCUGCAGCAAGUCCCUCUGACUGGGGCUACUUUGAUCCAUAGCGGGUGCUAGACCCGUAGCUGCUAGGCCGAUUUCGGAACGCGAUCUCCUUGGAGUCGGGUUGCUUGAGAGUGCAGCCCUAAGUGGGUGGUAAACUCCACCUAAGACUAAAUACGACCGUGAGACCGAUAGCGAACAAGUACCGUGAGGGAAAGUUGCAAAGAACUUUGAAGAGAGAGUUCAACAGUACGUGAAACUGCUUAGAGGUAAACAGAUGGGCCCUCGAAAUCCUGGUGACGGGAGGUAUUCAGUCGAAAGGCUUUUGACAAUCGAACUGGACAUUGUGGAGAACGAGUGCCACUGUGGCCUUUAACGGGUCGUUUUGCGCGUCUCAGCUCUCCCGUUCAAUUCGUUCUCGUCGAAAUGCUUGACGACGCAUUUGCCUUUCCCGUCCAAUGGACGUCGCAACCGGUUGGAAGACGGCCUUAAAGGUGACCUAUGGCAGGUAACUGACGAGAUGAAAUAAAACUUGUUUUUUUUUCUAUCGCGUUAGCGUUAUAGCCGGAAUCAUAUGGUGUCACCGAGAUGGCUCGUAGUCCGACCGUGGUCAAACAAAAAUGACACCCUUCGUGGGUUCAUUAAUCGCCUCCUCUGUAAAAUGAUCCCGGGACCAUGGCGACAAAAGAUUCGAAAGCACACGGAAAGCACACGGACUCGCGACCCGUGGCUCUCCGGAUUUCGGCUUUGUUGGUUGCCUGUGAGCAUAUCCCGUUGGAGGUACGGCGGUUCGCGACGAGUAGAUCGGUCACCCAUCUGACCCGUCUUGAAACACGGACCAAGGAGUCUAACAUGUGUGCGAGUCAAUGGGACUCGAAUAAGCCCAGAGGCGCAAUGAACGUGUAGACUCGACCUUCAGGUCUUGUCCAGUCGAGAUCCGUAGCCUUUAUUUAUAAAGAUGCGGCGCAUCGGCGACCCGUCCCGAUCGGAUUUAUUCGACGGGGCGGAGUUUGAGCACACACGUUGGGACCCGAAAGAUGGUGAGCUAUACCUGGACAGGACGAAGCCAGAGGAAACUCUGGUGGAGGUCCGCAGCGGUUCUGACGUGCAAAUCGAUCGUCGGAUCCGGGUCUAGGGGCGAAAGACUAAUCGAACCAUCUAGUAGCUGGUUCCCUCCGAAGUUUCCCUCAGGAUAGCUGGCGCUCGAAGAUUAUCAGUCUCAUCUGGUAAAGCGAAUGAUUAGAGGCCUUGGGGACGAAACGCCCUCAACCUAUUCUCAAACUUUAAAUGGGUGAGAAGUCCGCCUUGCUUGAUUGAAGGCCGUGACUUGAUGAUGGAUGAGAGUGCCCAGUGGGCCAUUUUUGGUAAGCAGAACUGGCGCUGUGGGAUGAACCAAACGACGGGUUAAGGCAUCCGAUGCUAGACGCUCAUGAGAUCCCAUGAAAGGUGUUGGUUGCUGAAGACAGCAGGACGGUGGCCAUGGAAGUCGGAAUCCGCUAAGGAGUGUGUAACAACUCACCUGCCGAAGCAACUAGCCCUGAAAAUGGAUGACGCUCCAGCGUCGAGCCUAUACCCGUCCGCUGCAGACAAAACUCUAAGUAAUUGGAGAUUUACGUCGCAGUGAGUAGGAGGGUCGCGAGGGAGAGCGUUGAAGGUGCCGGGCGUGAGCCCGCCUGGAGCCUCCCUCGGUGCAGAUCUUGGUGGUAGUAGCAAAUACUCAAGUGAGAACCUUGAGGACUGAAGCUGGAGAAGGGUUCCAUGUGAACAGCAGUUGAACAUGGGUCAGUCGGCCCUAAGGGAUCGGAGAAAUCCGUUCCGAGGCGGGACAUUGAGCUUUUGUACAUUUUUGUGACCAAUGUACGUCCCGCCGAUGACCGAAAGGGAAUGGGGUUAAUAUUCCCCAACCCGGACACGGAGAUAGAGGUGUCUCGCACACCUCAAAUGCGGUAACGCAAUCGAACUCGGACCCGUCGGUGGAGGACCCAGGGAAGAGUUAUCUUUUCUUUGUAAGGAAUCGUGUCCCUGGAAUCGGAUCAUCCGGAGAUAGGGACGCUGUUUCCGUAAAAGCACCGCGGCUCUUGCGGUGUCUGGUGCGCCUCUGCCGGCCCUUGAAAAUCCGAGGGAGAGAGUAUGAUUUUCGUGCCGGGCCGUACCCAUAUCCGCAGCAGGUCUCCAAGGUGAACAGCCUCUAGUCACUA